GUCCCAAUAGCUCAGUGGAUAGAGCACCAUCCUCCUAAGAUGGGUUGUCGGGGGUUCAAAUCCCUCUUGGGGCACCA
rnacentral:tRNA from 1 species